rnacentral:rRNA from 1 species
UACGUAGGGGGCUAGCGUUGUCCGGAAUCAUUGGGCGUAAGGAGCGUGUAGGCGGCCCGGUAAGUCCGCUGUGAAAGUCGGGGGCUCAACCCUCGAAUGCCGGUGGAUACUGUCGGGCUAGAGUGCGGAAGAGGCGAGUGGAAUUCCUGGUGUAGCGGUGAAAUGCGCAGAUAUCAGGAGGAACACCAGCGGCGAAGGCGGCGCUCUGGGCCGGAACUGACGCUGAGGAGCGAAAGCGUGGGUAGCAAACAGG